AGGGCACCGCCAGUAGUGGAGCCUGCGGCUUAAUUUGACUCAACGCGGGGAAACUCACCCGGCCCGGACACCGGAAGGAUUGAAAAAUUGAGAGCUCUUUCUUGAUUCGGUGGGUGAAGGUGCAUGGCCGUUCUUAGUUGGUGGAGCGAUUUGUCUGGUUAAUUCCGAUAUCCAACGAGACUCUGGCCUACUAAUUAGACGUUUCAUCAUUUCUGGACCUUCGCUGCUUCUUAGAGGGACGGCCGGCGUUCAGGCAUACGAGAAUGAGCGAUAACAGGUCUGUGAUGCCCUUAGAUGUUCUGGGCUUGACUGGCGCUAAACUGAAAGAAGCAGCGGGUGUCCCCUGUGUGAAAGGACUGGCAAACCCCUGAAACGCUCCCUCACGAUGAGGACUCGGAUAGAGGAUCUACCCCACGAACGAUGAAUUCCAACUACGCGCGAAUCAUAGUCGAACUCAAUCACGCCCCAGCACUUUGAACACCUCGUGCGUACCAUAUACAGAUAGGCUUAUUUACGGAC
rnacentral:rRNA from 1 species